rnacentral:lncRNA from 1 species
CCCCCGCGCGCGCUCUCCUCCGCUCCUGUCCCAUCGGUCCGAUUCGCCCCCGCGGAGCCGAUCGCGCCGACACGAGGAGCUAGGAAGCGACGGGCGAGCUAGACGGCAUGGAUUGGACCGGAAGAGAGGAGGGGGGAUUCAGGAAUUGGGGAGAGGAGGCGCGUCCGUACCUGGGUUGGGUUGUGAGGAAGCUGCUCGAUCGGUGCGGCUUUUGGGGGAGGAGAUGACAGGAAGGGGGAAUUCUGGCUGGGGUGAUGUGUCGCGACGGAGGGUGCGGGAAUGGAGGAGAGAGAAGGAGAGGAGGAACCUGGUGCGCACAAGAGCAGGGAGGACGACGCCCACCAGUUGCCGGGGGGAGGCGCACCGCGCACCCCCACCGCACCAUGGGCGCGGCUUUUUGCGGAUAGGCCCCUUCGGCCGCCGUGCGGCCAACUUGGACGGCUACGAUGGUGUGUGGCCCACUUGAGCGUGGUUGUACGGUUACCGCGGUUUCUUCUUGGCCCGGGCCUAGUUUAGCA